rnacentral:rRNA from 1 species
GAUGAACGCUGGCGGCGUGCCUAAUACAUGCAAGUCGAGCGAACAGACGAGGAGCUUGCUCCUCUGACGUUAGCGGCGGACGGGUGAGUAACACGUGGAUAACCUACCUAUAAGACUGGGAUAACUUCGGGAAACCGGAGCUAAUACCGGAUAAUAUAUUGAACCGCAUGGUUCAAUAGUGAAAGACGGUUUUGCUGUCACUUAUAGAUGGAUCCGCGCCGCAUUAGCUAGUUGGUAAGGUAACGGCUUACCAAGGCGACGAUGCGUAGCCGACCUGAGAGGGUGAUCGGCCACACUGGAACUGAGACACGGUCCAGACUCCUACGGGAGGCAGCAGUAGGGAAUCUUCCGCAAAGGGCGAAAGCCUGACGGAGCAACGCCGCGUGAGUGAUGAAGGUCUUCGGAUCGUAAAACUCUGUUAUUAGGGAAGAACAAAUGUGUAAGUAACUAUGCACGUCUCGACGGUACCUAAUCAGAAAGCCACGGCUAACUACGUG